rnacentral:rRNA from 1 species
CAGCCGCCGCGGUAAUACGUAGGUGGCAAGCGUUGUCCGGAAUUAUUGGGCGUAAAGCGUGCGUAGGCGGUGAGUUAAGUCUGUUGUGAAAUCCUCGGGCUCAACCUGGGAAUGGCAAUGGAAACUGGACGGCUAGAGUGUGUCAGAGGAUGGUGGAAUUCCCGGUGUAGCGGUGAAAUGCGUAGAGAUCGGGAGGAACAUCAGUGGCGAAGGCGGCCAUCUGGGACAACACUGACGCUGAAGCACGAAAGCGUGGGGAGCAAACAGGAUUAGAUACCCCAGUAGUCCCUGUCUCUUAUAC